rnacentral:rRNA from 1 species
AGAGUUUGAUCCUGGCUCAGGAUGAACGCUAGCGGCAGGCUUAACACAUGCAAGUCGAGGGGCAGCGUGGAGUAGCAAUACUCUGACGGCGACCGGCGGAAGGGUGCGUAACACGUGAGCGACUUGCCCGAUACAGGGAGAUAACCGGUGGAAACGCCGACUAAUAUCCCAUACGACUAGAGGCUGCAUGGCCUUGAGUUGAAAGGUUCGCCGGUAUCGGAUAGGCUCGCGGGACAUUAGCUUGAUGGCGGGGCAACGGCCCACCAUGGCGACGAUGUCUAGGGGUUCUGAGAGGAAGACCCCCCACACUGGGACUGAGACACGGCCCAGACUCCUACGGGAGGCAGCAGUGAGGAAUAUUGGUCAAUGGGCGGAAGCCUGAACCAGCCAUGCCGCGUGAAGGACUAAGGCCCUAUGGGUCGUAAACUUCUUUAGACGCAGAGCAAUAAGGGCCUCGCGAGGUCCGAUGAGAGUAUGCGUAGAAUAAGCAUCGGCUAACUCCGUGCCAGCAGCCGCGGUAAUACGGGGGAUGCGAGCGUUAUCCGGAUUUAUUGGGUUUAAAGGGUGCGUAGGCGGCGAAUUAAGUCAGCGGUGAAAGACCGGGGCUCAACCCUGGAAGUGCCGUUGAUACUGAUUGGCUAGAAUACCCUUGCCGUGGGAGGAAUGAGUGGUGUAGCGGUGAAAUGCAUAGAUAUCACUCAGAACACCGAUUGCGAAGGCAUCUCACGAAGGGGCGAUUGACGCUGAGGCACGAAAGCGUGGGGAUCGAACAGGAUUAGAUACCCUGGUAGUCCACGCAGUAAACGAUGAUGGCUAACUGUCGGGCCUUAGGGUUCGGCGGCCAAGCGAAAGCGAUAAGCCAUCCACCUGGGGAGUACGACCGCAAGGUUGAAACUCAAAGGAAUUGACGGGGGCC